UACGUAGGCAGCAAGCGUUGUUCGGAAUUACUGGGCGUAAAGAGUGUGUAGGCGGUGCUCUAAGUUUGGUGUGAAAUCUCCCGGCUCAACUGGGAGGGUGCGCCGAAAACUGGAAUGCUUGAACAUGGGAGAGGAAAGCGGAAUUCCUGGUGUAGCGGUGAAAUGCGUAGAUAUCAGGAGGAACACCUGCGGUGUAGACGGCUUUCUGGACCAUUGCUGACGCUGAGACACGAAAGCGUGGGUAGCAAACAGG
rnacentral:rRNA from 1 species